UCUCCGUUGGUGAACCAGCGGAGGGAUCAUUACAGAGUUUUCGCUACUCCCAACCCUUGCGAACCGUACCCAUUCUGUUCUCGUUGCUUCCGGCGGGGGGGACGGGGGGGCCCGAAACGGCCUCCCCGCCCCGCCCGCCGGGGGCGGCGGUCCCUACGAACCUUUAUAUCUCAACCACCAGAAACCGUCUGAGAAAACAAACAAAAUAAUCAAAACUUUCAACAACGGAUCUCUUGGCUCUG
rnacentral:misc_RNA from 1 species